ACAUACGACCAUAGGGUGUGGAGAACAGGGCUUCCCGUCCGCUCAGCCGUACUUAAGCCACACGCCGGGAGGUUAGUAGUUGGGUGGGUGACCACCAGCGAAUCC
rnacentral:rRNA from 1 species